rnacentral:rRNA from 1 species
AUGACAUCCAUUUCGAAGACCAUGAGUUUGAGGUGGACGAGGAGGGUGAGGGAAUUGUCGAGGCGCCGAAAGGAAGAGCGGGCAAUUACUCCACCAACGAUGACAAGUUACUAUGCUAUACUUAUUUGCAAGUGUCGAGGGAUCCAUCCAUUGGAGGUGAUCAAAGUAGAGACGCGUAUUGGGGGCGAAUGA